UACGGAGGGUCCAAGCGUUAUCCGGAUUUACUGGGUUUAAAGGGUGCGUAGGCGGACUUUUAAGUCAAAUGUGAAAGCUUACAGCUCAACUGUAAGACUGCAUUUGAUACUGGAAGUCUUGAAUAUGGUUGAAGUUGGCGGAAUAAAUCAUGUAGCGGUGAAAUGCUUAGAUAUCACAUAGAACACCGAUUGCGAAGGCAGCUAGCUAGGGCAUAAUUGACGCUGAUGCACGAAAGUGUGGGUAUCAAACAGG
rnacentral:rRNA from 1 species